UACGGGGGGGGGCAAGCGUUGCUCGGAAUCACUGGGCGUAAAGGGCGCGUAGGCGGUCGUGACAAGUCACUUGUGAAAUCUCCGGGCUUAACUCGGAACGGUCAAGUGAUACUGUCGGACUAGAGUACAGAAGGGGCAACUGGAAUUCUCGGUGUAGCGGUGAAAUGCGUAGAUAUCGAGAGGAACACCUGCGGCGAAGGCGGGUAGCUGGGCCGACACUGACGCUGAGGCGCGAAAGCCAGGGGAGCGAACGGGG
rnacentral:rRNA from 1 species